rnacentral:rRNA from 1 species
GCAAGUCGCACGAAGAAGGGAGCAAUCCUAAGUAAAGUGGCGCACGGGUGAGUAACACGUGGAUCAUCUACCUUUUAGUGGGGAAUACCUCUGGGAAACCGGAGACAAUACCGCAUAAGCCCGCAAGGGGAAAGCAGCAAUGCGCUGAAAGAGGAGUCCGCGGCCGAUUAGCUAGUUGGCGGGGUAACGGCCCACCAAGGCGAAGAUCGGUAGCCGGCCUGAGAGGGCACACGGCCACACUGGCACUGAAACACGGGCCAGACUCCUACGGGAGGCAGCAGUGGGGAAUCUUGCACAAUGGGCGAAAGCCUGAUGCAGCGACGCCGCGUGAGCGAUGAAGCCCUUCGGGGUGUAAAGCUCUUUCGGCAGGGAAGAUUAUGACGGUACCUGCAGAAGCAGCUGCGGCUAACUACGUGCCAGCAGCCGCGGUAAUACGUAGGCAGCAAGCGUUGUUCGGAGUUACUGGGCGUAAAGGGUGUGUAGGCGGCCUUCUAAGUUUGGUGUGAAAUCUCCCGGCUCAACCGGGAGGGUGCGCCGAAGACUGGGGGGCUAGAGUGCGGGAUGGGAGAGUAGAAUUCCUGGUGUAGCGGUGAAAUGCGUAGAUAUCAGGAGGAAUACCUGUGGUGUAGACGGCUCUCUGGACCGCAACUGACGCUGAGACACGAAAGCGUGGGUAGCAAACAGGAUUAGAUACCCUGGUAGUCCACGCCCUAAACGAUGCAUA